CGGGCGGCGGCGACGGCGGGUGGCGUCUGGGGCGCCUCCGGCGGACGGUGGCGGCGCCGGGCAGAGAGGCCGCGGCUGCCGGGGUCGUCGGGGGACGGCGGUGAGCUCGGGCCUGGGCGGCGGCGGCCGGGGGCGCAAGCGGAGCCCCGCGCCGGACACAGAACCUCGUCUCAGGCGGCCGCGGCUUUUGAUGAGCUACAGGCCGGCGGAGACGCAGACUCGCUCGUCCCCUGGCGGCCCGCGGACGCUGACGCUCUCCGCGCGGACCCUCGCCCCGGCCCCGCCCCGACCCCAACCCCGGCCCUGACCGCCACCGCGUGUGUGUUUCAGGCCCCAGCGCCCGGCUAUGGCCGCGGCCACCAUAGUCCACGACACGUCUGAGGCGGUGGAGCUGUGCCCCCCGUACGGCCUGUACCUGAAGCCCAUCACCAAGAUGACCAUCAGCGUGGCGCUCCCGCAGCUGAAGCAGCCGGGCAAGUCCAUCUCCAACUGGGAGGUGAUGGAGAGGCUCAAGGCCAUGGUGCAGCACCACCAGUUCUCCACGCUGCGCAUCUCCAAGAGCACCAUGGACUUCAUCCGCUUCGAGGGCGAGGUGGAGAACCGCAGCCUGGUCAAGGCCUUCCUGGCUUGCUUGGACGGCAAGACCAUCAAGCUCAGCGGCUUCUCCGACAUCCUCAAGGUGCGCGCGGCCGAGUUCAGGAUCGACUUCCCCACGCGCCACGACUGGGACUCCUUCUUCCGCGACGCCAAGGACAUGAACGAGACGCUGCCGGGCGAGCGGCCCGACACCAUCCACGUGGAGGGCCUGCCCUGCAAAGUGGUUCGCGCUCAAGGACUCGGGCUCCGAGAAGCCCAGCGAGGAGGUGCUGGUGAAGGUGUUCGAGAAGUUCGGGGCGAUCCGCAACGUGGACAUCCCCAUGCUGGACCCCUACCGCGAGGAGAUGACCGGCCGCAACUUCCACACCUUCAGUUUCGGGGGCCACCUGAACUUCGAGGCGUACGUGCAGUACCGCGAGUACGUGGGCUUCAUCCAGGCCAUGAGCGCCCUGCGCGGCAUGAAGCUCAUGUACAAGGGCGAGGACGGCAAGGCGGUGGCCUGCAACAUCAAGGUUUCCUUCGACUCCACCAAGCACCUGAGCGACGCCUCCAUUAAGAAACGGCAGCUCGAGAGGCAAAAGCUGCAGGAGCUGGAGCAGCAGAGGGAGGAGCAGAAGCGCCGGGAGAAGGAGGCCGAGGAGAGGCAGAGGGCGGAGGAAAGGUACGUGCGCGCCCGGCCGGCCGCGCGGCCCGCCCGCUCGCGACCGCCGAGCAGCGCGCUUCCGGGUGCGGGCUCGAGCGCGCGCGUGCCUGUGCCUGGCCGUUCACGCGCGUGUGGCCGCGUGUGUGCACGUGUGCGGGAGUCUGUGUGCAAGUGUGCGCGUGCACGUGUGCAGCUGGGCGUGCGCGCACGUCCUCCGCGUGCCCGGGACCGCGUCCUCCGCGCAGGGCCGCUGUGCUCGCGGUCCCCUGCGCGACAUUGCGGCCAAGUCGGUCAGGAUCCCCGCCUCCGCCCACUGUCCGCGUUUUGUGGUAUAAAAGCCGAACCCUAACGAACGGGAUCACUGACGUUUUGGGGGAAACAGGAAGAAACUCUUCGUACACCAGCAGUCGCGCUGUACCUUUGGCCUGUUUCCCAGCUCUUUGGGUUUCGCAGGCGCGAUUUCCGCGUUCGGCGAGUGUGCAGCUUAGAUGUGUCGGGCCUGGUGGAUUCGCCCGUUCCCCGCGGUGAUCGUCUCUGCGUCGCAGGCGCUCGGUGUCUCCCCUGCGGCCGCGUGCGGGCUGUGUUCUGACCACAGGAUCCUGACGCGGAAGAAGGCGUGUCCGGACCUCCUUUCGGCAGCGGACGCAAGUCCCGACCGGGCGCACGAGUCCUGGCCCAGCUCCGCGCCCGCCCCGAGGACAGUCGGCCUGCUGGCCCGGGGACGGCCUGACGGGCACCGGGAGACGCGGCGGGCGGGGCUGGGGGCUGGGGUCUGGGGCCGCCUCGCGGUGCUGCAGGGCCCCACCUGCGGGAUGCGGGAUGCAGGGCGGGCAGUGGGGGGCUCCCAGAGAAACCGGCUCCCCAGGCAG
rnacentral:lncRNA from 1 species